rnacentral:rRNA from 1 species
UUUCGGUUCGGGAUAACGUCUGGAAACGGACGCUAACACCGGAUACGUCCUUCGGGAGAAAGUUUACGCCGAGAGAGGGGCCCGCGUCCGAUUAGGUAGUUGGUGGGGUAAUGGCCCACCAAGCCGACGAUCGGUAGCUGGUCUGAGAGGAUGAUCAGCCACACUGGGACUGAGACACGGCCCAGACUCCUACGGGAGGCAGCAGUGGGGAAUAUUGGACAAUGGGGGCAACCCUGAUCCAGCAAUGCCGCGUGAGUGAUGAAGGCCUUAGGGUUGUAAAGCUCUUUCGCACGCGACGAUGAUGACGGUAGCGUGAGAAGAAGCCCCGGCUAACUUCGUGCCAGCAGCCGCGGUAAUACGAAGGGGGCGAGCGUUGUUCGGAAUUACUGGGCGUAAAGGGCGCGUAGGCGGCCCGAUCAGUCAGAUGUGAAAGCCCCGGGCUCAACCUGGGAACUG